GCCUUCAUAGCUCAGUUGGUUAGAGCGUCCGCUUAGUAAGCGGGAGGUCCUGAGUUCAACUCUCAGUGAAGGCA
rnacentral:tRNA from 1 species